GAUGAAGAACGUAGCGAAAUGUGAUACUUGGUGUGAAUUGCAGAAUCCCGUGAACCAUCGAGUCUUUGAACGCAAGUUGCGCCCGAGGCCUCCUGGUCGAGGGCACGUCUGCCUGGGUGUCACGCAUCGUCGCCCCCGCUCCCCUCGGCUCACGAGGGCGGGGGCGGAUACUGGUCUCCCGCGCGCUCCCGCUCGCGGCUGGCCCAAAAUCGAGUCCCCGGCGACGGUCGCCACGACGAGCGGUGGUUGAGAGACCCUCGGACACUGUCGUGCGCGCGCCCGUCGCCCCCGGGAUCUCCUGGACCCUCGGGCAUCGACCUUUCUAGGAUGCUCUCGUUGCGACCCCAGGUCAGGUGGGACUACCCGCUGAGUUUAAGCAUAUCAAUAAGCGGAGGA
rnacentral:misc_RNA from 1 species